CAGGGGCAAUAAAACCGUAUUCCGGUAUUGAACUUUCAAUGCCGGAAUGAGGAAAGUCCGGGCUCCUUCGGAAAAGAUGCCGGAUAAUAACCGGGCAGGAGUAAUCCUGACAGACAGUGCCACAGAGAAUAUACCGCCUGAAAAGGUAAGGGUGAAAAGGCGAGGUAAGAGCUCACCGGGCUUACGGUAACGUAAGCCGCAUGGUAAACCUCAUCUGGAGCAAGGACAAGCAGUAACGGAAUGCCGAAUAGCAUCUUAUGAUGCACCGUUACGGGUAGUCCGCUGGAUAUGCAGCGUAAGUUGCAUACAGGAUAGAUGGUUUUACACGGUUUUUGCAUUAUAUGCAGGAAUCGUGCGACAGAACCCGGCUUAUUAUUGCUUCUGUUUU
rnacentral:RNase_P_RNA from 1 species